UGAAAGUUUGAUCCGGCCGGAUGAACGCUACCAGGCCUAACACAUGAAGUCGAGGAACGGGAAAAGCUUGUUUUUCCGCUGACGCCCGGCGCACGGGCGCAUGCAACCUACCUUUAAGGAGUAUAGCCCAGAAAAAUUUUGGGAUUAACCCUCCAUAAUAUUUUUUCAAAGAAAAGAUUAAAUUUUCGGGUAAAAGAUGGGCAUGCGUUUUAUUAGCUAGUAGGUGGGGUGGCUCCCCCAGGCCACGAAAAAUGGGGGUGAGAGGGGGACCCCCCACACGGUACUGAGACACGGACCAGACUCCCGGGGAGGCAGCAGAGGAAUAUUGGACAAUGGACGAAAGUCUGAUCCAGCCAUGCCGCGUGCAGGAUGAGGGCCCCCGGGUUGUAAACUGUUUUUAUACGGAAGAAACACCCCCAGUGGGGGGGCUUGAGGUACUGUAAAUAAGGAUCGGCUAACUCCGUGCCAGCAGGGGGUAAUACGGAGGAUCAAGCGUUACCCGGAAUUAUUGUUUAAAGGGUCCGCAGGCGGUCUAUUAAGUCAGAGGUGAAAUCUUGCAGCCAACUGUAAAAUUGCCUUUGAUACGGUAGACUUGAGUCAUUGUGAAGUGGUUAGAAUGUGGUGUAGCGGUGAAAUGCAAAAUAUACACAGAAUACCAAACGAAGGAGAUACUAAAAAUUUACGACGCCUGGACGAAAGCGGGGGGAGGAACAGGAUUAGAUACCCGGAUCCACGCCGUAAACGAUGGAUACUAACUUUUCGACCCCGGGAUGGUUGCAAAGUGAAAAGUAUCCCACCGGGGGAGUACGCUCGAAAGGGUGAAACUCAAAGAAUUGACGGGGCCCGCACAAGCGGUGGAGCGUGGUUUAAUUGAUGAUACGCGAGGAACCUUACCAGGGCUUAAAUGUAGUGGGACAGGUCUAGAAAAGACCCUUUUUCACUCAUUACAAGGUGCUGCAUGGUUGUCGUCAGCUCGUGCCGUGAGGUGUCAGGUUAAGCCCUAUAACGAGCGAAACCCCCUAUCGUUAGUUGCCAGCGGGUAUGCCGGAACUCUAGCGAAACCCCGGGUGAAAAACCGAGAGGAAGGGGGGGAUGACGUCAAAUCACCGGCCCUUACGCCGGGCACACGUGCUACAAGGGUCGGAAGAGGGGCCACUACGCGGUGGGGAGGAAUUUUUAAAACCGAUCUCAGUUCGAUCCAGUCUGCAACCGACUGCGUGAAGCGGGAAUCGCUAGUAAUCGCUUUAUCAGCCAUGAUGCGGUGAAUACUUUCCCGGGGCCACCCCCCGCCCGUCAAGCCAUGGAAGCGGGGGACCUGAAGUCGGUGACCGAAAGGGCUGCCUAGGGUAAAACUAGUGACUGGGGCUAAGUCGUAACAAGGUACCCGUACCGGAAGGUGGGGCGGGAACACCCC
rnacentral:rRNA from 1 species